UCCUUAGAUGUUCUGGGCUGCACGCGCGCUACACUGAUGCGAUCAACAAGUUUUUCCUAUGUCGAUAGACACGGGUAAUCUUUUGAACUCGCAUCGUGAUGGGGAUAGAUUAUUGUAAUUAUUAAUCUUCAACGAGGAAUUCCUAGUAGGUGCAAAUCAUCAGUUUGCAUCGAUUACGUCCCUGCCCUUUGUACACACCGCCCGUCGCUGCUACCGAUUGGUUGAUCUGGUGAAUUAUUCGGACUGCCGGCUGAAGGGGUUUCCUCAUCUGCCAGCGGAAAGUCUUGUUAACCCUAUCAACUAGAGGAAGCAGAAGUCGUAACA
rnacentral:rRNA from 1 species